GCAGUUGCAGACCAAGAGACUUCUGCAAAUCCCAAAUAGAAGUAGAAGAAAGGAGCAAAGAGAAAAGAAAGUUCUGAGGGACAAUAAGAAGUGAGGUCUCCUUUUAGAAAUUCCACAAUUUUAUAACCUCAACUUCUCAUGAAUUUUUCCCCUGCAAUAUCAGUUCUUUCCAUUAAAACCUUAUGUCAAUUA
rnacentral:lncRNA from 11 species